rnacentral:ncRNA from 3 species
UGUAUGUAUGUGUGCAUGUGCAUGUAUGUGUACAUACAUAUAUAUAUAUUACGUACCCAUAUAUCA